UACGGAGGGUGCGAGCGUUGUCCGGAAUCACUGGGCGUAAAGGGCGCGUAGGCGGCGCGGGAAGUCAUCGGUGAAAGCUCAGGGCUCAACUCUGAAUCGGCCGGUGAUACUCUCGUGCUCGAGCACUGUAGAGGCAGGUGGAAUUCCGGGUGUAGCGGUGGAAUGCGUAGAGAUCCGGAAGAACACCGGUGGCGAAGGCGGCCUGCUGGGCAGUAGCUGACGCUGAUGCGCGACAGCGUGGGGAGCAAACAGG
rnacentral:rRNA from 1 species